AGGUAAGCUACUAAGAGCGAAUGGUGGAUGCCUUGACUGGUAAAGGCGAUGAAGGACGUACUAGACUGCGAUAAGCUACGGGGAGCUGUCAAGAAGCUUUGAUCCGUAGAUUUCCGAAUGGGGCAACCCAAUGUAUAGAGAUAUACAUUACCUAUAUAGGAGCGAACGAGGGGAAUUGAAACAUCUUAGUACCCUCAGGAAAAGAAAUCAAUAGAGAUUGCGUCAGUAGCGGCGAGCGAAAGCGCAAGAGGGCAAACCCAGUGCUUGCACUGGGGGUUGUAGGACUGCAAUGUGCAAGAGCUGAGUUUAGCAGAACAUUCUGGAAAGUAUAGCCAUAGAGGGUGAUAGUCCCGUAUGCGAAAAACAAAGCUUAGCUAGCAGUAUCCUGAGUAGGGCGGGACACGAGGAAUCCUGUCUGAAUCCGGGUCGACCACGAUCCAACCCUAAAUACUAAUACCAGAUCGAUAGUGCACAAGUACCGUGAGGGAAAGGUGAAAAGAACUGAGGUGAUCAGAGUGAAAUAGAACCUGAAACCAUUUGCUUACAAUCAUUCAGAGCACUAUGUAGCAAUACAGUGUGAUGGACUGCCUUUUGCAUAAUGAGCCUGCGAGUUGUGGUGUCUGGCAAGGUUAAGCAAACGCGAAGCCGUAGCGAAAGCGAGUCUGAAUAGGGCGCUUAGUCAGAUGCUGCAGACCCGAAACGAAGUGAUCUAUCCAUGAGCAAGUUGAAGCUAGUGUAAGAACUAGUGGAGGACUGAACCCAUAGGCGUUGAAAAGCCCCGGGAUGACUUGUGGAUAGGGGUGAAAGGCCAAUCAAACUUCGUGAUAGCUGGUUCUCUCCGAAAUAUAUUUAGGUAUAGCGUUGUGUCGUAAUAUAAGGGGGUAGAGCACUGAAUGGGCUAGGGCAUACACCAAUGUACCAAACCCUAUCAAACUCCGAAUACCUUAUAUGUAAUCACAGCAGUCAGGCGGCGAGUGAUAAAAUCCGUCGUCAAGAGGGAAACAACCCAGACUACCAGCUAAGGUCCCUAAAUCUUACUUAAGUGGAAAACGAUGUGAAGUUACUUAAACAACCAGGAGGUUGGCUUAGAAGCAGCCAUCCUUUAAAGAAAGCGUAAUAGCUCACUGGUCUAGUGAUUUUGCGCGGAAAAUAUAACGGGGCUAAAGUAAGUACCGAAGCUGUAGACUUAGUUUACUAAGUGGUAGGAGAGCGUUCUAUUUGCGUCGAAGGUAUACCGGUAAGGAGUGCUGGAGCGAAUAGAAGUGAGCAUGCAGGCAUGAGUAGCGAUAAUUAAUGUGAGAAUCAUUAACGCC
rnacentral:rRNA from 1 species